UUUCACUUGGGUCUAACAAAAAACAUAACAGCCCAUUAGUCAUAUUAGCCCAAAACAAUAGAAACAUAAAUCCACUUCCCUUUGUUGUUUUUUCUCCUUCUUCCCACGAUUCUCUCUUGCGACCAAUGACCAAUACUUCGUCUUCCUCUACUUGUUAGUCUCAUUGUUCUACAUCAUCAUCUUCUCACUCUCAUAUCUAAUCGUCUUCUCUUGCUCAAUGCAAGCUUAAUCGAAGACUCAACCUUCAACAAAUCUGAAUAAGCAACCACAAAAGGCACAAAACCAAAAGAUCGGAUCUUUCAUCAGCUUCUCACUUCAAAUUGCUUCAUCAAUUGUUUCACUUAAGUAUUCUAUCAAUCUCGUCUCCAAUUUUAUCAAGUGAUCAUCAAAUUGAUGAGUUUUGCAAUUAGACAAAAAGACGUUUCUUACAACAUGCGGAACGAUGUUCUUCCAUAAUCUCUUUUCGCCGAUUAGAUCCUUCUUGGGGAUUUCUUGGAGACUUAUGUAAUUCACAUCGAUUUAGUUGUACCUUUAUAGAUCGCCGAUAAGACGGAUACAAUGAUUUAAGGUAGACAUGAGUGAAGGAUCCAACACAAAAAGAAGACUGGAGACGAAAACAUCGAUUAUCUUAAUCCGGGAAAGAAUUAUACGAAUUCGAUGCGGUGUCAGAAAUACAUAAAUCAUCAUUCUAGAAGGAUAGAUUCUCAGACUUUGUUUUAGAUCAUAAUAUUUAUUUUGUUUUAUCGAUUAGGACGGAAUCUAUACUUAUGUGUAUGCAUUUGAAUAGUAUGUUAAUUUAUACGAAAUCACAGUUUCUUUGAGCUAAAUCUGAGUUAAAUCUUUUAGCAGUUUUUGAUGAUCCUCUUCCUACAGUGAACUGCGCGGGAGAUUUUGUGAAAAGAGUUGAAUCAUUGUCUUCGAUGGAAAAUAACUCUGCAAAGCUUGAAAAUGGCAGAACUCCACAUUGUUGGACUUUUUUCAGUAGUAAACAAAGUUUCUCAAGAAAACAUCCCAACAGUCACGAAAUAGAAAGUUAGAGCUGGGAUGCUUCAAGGUGUGGAAAUCGCAUUGGGGUUUCCUGAAGGCUCGAUUCCUAAACCCGUUUAUACACGUCUCAUUGACUAUUGAGACAUUGU